rnacentral:rRNA from 1 species
AAUAGAUACCCCGGUAGUCCACGCUGUAAACGAUGUCGACUCGGUGUGUGGUGCGCGUUUUGCGCGCGCUGCGUGCCUUAGCUCACGCGGGAAGUCGACCGCCUGGGGACUACGAGCGCAAGCUUAAAACUCAAAGGAAUUGACGGGGGCCCGCACAAGCAGCGGAGCGUGUGGUUUAAUUCGACGUAACGCGCAGAACCUCACCCAGACUGGACAUGGACCUGCACACGCGUGAAAGCGCGGAGCCUUCGAGGGUGGUCCACAGAUGCUGCAUGGCUGUCGUCAGCUCGUGUCGUAAGAUGUUGGGUUAAGUCCCGCAACGAGCGCAACCCUGCCCGUAGUUACUGCGUGUCUACGGGGACGGCGCCUGGAUGGGCGCAGGAAGGCGGGGAUGAUGUCAAGUCCGCAUGGCUCUUACGUCUGGGGCGACACACACGCUACAAUGGGACGAGUAGUGGGCAGCAAGACCGCAAGGUGGAGCGAAUCCUCAAUCCGUCCCCCAGUGCAGAGUC